rnacentral:rRNA from 1 species
UACGUAGGGUGCAAGCGUUGUCCGGAAUUAUUGGGCGUAAAGAGCUCGUAGGCGGUUUGUUGCGUCGGCUGUGAAAUCCCGAGGCUCAACCUCGGGCCUGCAGUCGAUACGGGCAGACUAGAGUGUUGCAGGGGAGACUGGAAUUCCUGGUGUAGCGGUGAAAUGCGCAGAUAUCAGGAGGAACACCGAUGGCGAGGGCAGGUCUCUGGGCAUUAACUGACGCUGAGGAGCGAAAGCAUGGGGAGCGAACAGG